AAAAAUACUAAAACAAUUAUUAUCCCCGACAAUCACCUCGCCUUCGGCGAAUGAUUGUUAAAUAUCAACACGAGUGGAAAUUGGGAAAACGAGAAAUUGUGUGGAAACAUGACGCCCGAAGGGUGAAGUGUUUUCAAGCAAUUUCGAGUUUUCCCAAUUUCCACGAGUGCUGAGAUAACUGUAUAUCAAUACGGAAAAAGUUUUAUAUUUGUUUUAUAAUAUAGCACAAAGAAACAUAAGGAAAGAAAUUUUCCGACGUUUCCGUGUUGACAUUGAGUUAUAUCAACACGGAUCUUAGCCAAUCAGCGUUCAGAAUCUGCAAAUGCUAUAUUAUAAUAUAUAAUAUCACCCGCGUCGCGCGUGGAGACCACGCUUAGCAUAGCUAUGAAAAAAUAUGGUGUCCUCGAGGUUUUGUUUGGG